CUCUUUACUAACUAUGUCUAUGAAAAGACAAAGUCUUUGAAGGUGAUUGUUUUUAUGGUCUUUUUUACGAAGGCGUUAACAUUGUCAUGUUUAUCAAUGUUUAUUUCGCCAUGUUUUCGAUUUACAUCAUUCCACAAGGUAGUACAUCUAUACGUUAUAGAGAGCUUCAAAGUUUUUGUAUUGAACCGGGGUGAACAAGGGUGAAUUUUGUUUUCGACCAACCAGAGCAUUUGGUUACCUUUUGGCGCUAAGCCAAUCAGAACGCAUACAUUGUUACUACUUCCGAUUUAGAAGCG